GAACUAAUGGAUAUGAGCUGCAUACAGGACAGAAUGGCUGUGAGGGGUGCUGGAUUUGUUUUCUGCUAUGAAGCCUCCAUUGGCUAAGAUCAUUCCCCAUGUAUACACUUUCAGACUUUCUCUGAGAGCUUCUCUCCCAUUCUAACUUAGCCAUGGAAGGCUCCACACUGUUUAACCUAUCUGGCACCCAUCAGAGUUAUUCACUGAUGUCUGCAGCUCAUAUCCAAUAGUUCU
rnacentral:pre_miRNA from 1 species